rnacentral:lncRNA from 1 species
GUACACCUUAUCAAUUUUUCUAUUCCAUUAAAGCAACACUUCAAACAUUAUAUAUAGCAUACAUUAUGGCACCACCCAAUUUGCAUCUCUCUCGUUACCUUUCUUAUAGUUUACACACAGUAGAGAGCGCUUGCUAAUGGAAUCCUCCAUCAGGUUUUUUGCAGUGGGCUUCCUUCUGCUAUCACUUGUCAUGACAACUGGUUUGAACUUUCUUUACCAUUAACUUCUUUAGUGUGUAUAUAUAUUUAUCAAUCAAAUUAAAAUAUAUAAGCUACAACUGGUUUCGACUUUCUUCAACAUGAACUUCUUUAGUGUGUAUAUAUUUAUCGAUCAAGUUCAAAUAUAAAAGCUAAAAACUGCAAUUUUAUCUUUCCUUUGUAGGCUAAUAUACAUAUAUUUCUUAACCUAAUUGCAGCAGAAAGUCGGUCAGAUUGCUAUAAUGACGUGUGUACUACUGAGUGCACAAAAAAAGUGGGUUAUACUGUUAAUGGGUGUUGCUCUAAUGACGAAUGUUUCUGCAUUAGUGCCACUACUGAUUGUUCAGAGGUUUUUCCCCCAGCAGGUGAAACCCUAGUCACUUAUACUUUCUUCGUUUAUUUUUUUUUUAUUAUUUUUUUCCCUCUCUAAGUCCCCAGCGUUUUUGUUUAAGCCUCCAUUAGGCAAAUUUAUAAAUAUUUUACAAAGAGGAAGAGUAGUGAGUGUCAUGAAAUGUGUUAAUAAUAAUUAGUAAUUAUAAAUUUGUUGUUAAAAUCAAAAUUAAUUUUAACUCAACUUAUAUAUAUAUAUAUAUAUAUAUAUAUCACAAAUGGAGGCUAGAUAAACACGAGGGUUUUGUUUUUCACUAUAUUAUUAAUCAAACACAAGGGAAAGUCGUUAACCGGGGCCACAGAUGUUACAAAAAUGAAAGGUUGGUCUCUGAGGAUGUCGAAUAUUUAGUUGGGACCUCGAUUGGUAUUUUUUCCUUGAAGUUUUAACUCUCUAACUUAAUCGAUUUUAAUAAAAAUUGAUGAAACGUGUCAUUAAAAAUUGCGGUCCUAUGAAAUGCAUAGUUAAAACUUUCACUUAAAUUUUUAUAAAAUUUUUAAGCCAUACCAAACAUGUAUAUUUUCUUUCACUCUUAACGCGGUUACUGAAAUAUUACUAUCAGGACAAAGAAAAAUCUACGGAUUCAAACACGAGAGUUUUGAUGAAAAUGUGAAAUCUCUUAAACGAAGUGGUUUAGUAUCGAAAUCUGAGUUCUUUGUUUUCUGUUAUUUGCAGGAGGGAAAGGUAAACCAGAGUUGUUGAUCAGCCAGGUUUAGGGCAAUACAUCUGAGAUUACUGCCCAGUGACAUUUUCUACUUAUAAUCGAUUUUCAAUUGGAGGAUUGUCCUGCAGUUUUUAUUGGCUUUUAAUAAACAAAAAAAAAAAAUGUAGUUAAAGGGCUAUCGCUCUCUCCAUAAAUAAAUCAAGAGCCAGUGGCUGUACGCAUCUCUAUCCUGUUUGAUAUUAAUGUUUAUGCAUUGUUCCAAGUGAACUCUGUGCUGCUUGUCUUUGUUUUUUCUUGAAAAAUGAGUUUGUUGGAAUUCCUACCCUCGUAAUUUUUUAUAUUUAUAUAUGCAUUGUUCUGGUAUGUGUUAUGUAGCACCAUUCAAAUAAGGAAUACGGGGAAUAAUUCACUGGAUCCAUAGUACUUAUAUGGUGCAUUUUCUGUCAUAUUUGGAUCCAAAACCAAUGAAAAAUUGUGAAGUAUUGAUUUAUAAAAAUUCUGUCAAGUUUUUCUUGUACUUGU